rnacentral:tRNA from 1 species
CAGUAUGUAGUUUAAAUUAAAAUAUAGUAUUUGGGUUAUUAAGAUUAAAUUACUGAA